UACCAGCACCCCGAGUGGUCGGGACGAUUAUUGGGCCUAAAGCAUCCGUAGCCGGUCUUGCAAGUCUUCCGUUAAAUCCAGCUGCUUAACAGAUGGGCUGCGGAAGAUACUACAAGACUAGGAGGCGGGAGAGGCAAGCGGUACUCAGUGGGUAGGGGUAAAAUCCUCUGAUCCAUUGAAGACCACCAGUGGCGAAGGCGGCUCACUGGACCGGCAUUGACGCUGAGGUGCGAAAGCGUGGGGAGCAAACAGG
rnacentral:rRNA from 1 species